GACGGAAGGUGCAAGCGUUGCUCGGAAUCAUUGGGCGUAAAGGGUGCGUAGGCGGCGCGGUAAGUCGGGUGUGAAAUCUCGGGGCUUAACUCCGAAACUGCAUUCGAUACUGCCGUGCUUGAGGACUGGAGAGGAGACUGGAAUUACGGUGUAGCGGUGAAAUGCGCAGAUAUAGGAGGAACACCGAUGGCGAAGGCAGGUCUCUGGGCCACUACUGACGCUGAGAAGCGAAAGCAUGGGGAGCGAACAGG
rnacentral:rRNA from 1 species